CACGGCUCCCUGGGAGACCUGCUGGGUCCCGGGGGUGACCGGGUGAAGCGCCACUCAACGGAGAGGCCAAGAAUUCUGGCCUGCGGGCCAUAGACUCGGUAGAUGCUACAUUGACCUUCAACUCAUCAACACACCCCUGUGAGGAAGGUACUGCAGCCCAGCACACAUCAAUACCUGCUGAAGACCUGGGGAGUCGCUUUCUGUAACAACAGGAUCGGAGGAGGAAUUUUUGUAUCUCUCUUGUAUCUCCCUCCCCGGGCCUGGGAGACACAUCGCCAGCAUCCUUCGAUGACUCCCCCACACCCCGGAGGCCUGUGAGCAUUCACCUCGGAGCUUCAUUUCUGCUUCCACACACAGUACUUCUGGGUGAACCCAGCACAGCUCCAAGUUUCCCUGCGGAAGAGUCUUCGAGAUUAAAAACAAAAACACAAAAGCAGAGGCGCCUGGCUGGUUCAGUCGGUUAAGCGUCCGACUUCAGCUCAGGUCACGAUCUCGCGGUGUGUGAGUUCGAGCCCUGCGUCGGGCUCUGUGCUGACAGCUCGGAGCCCGGAGCCUGCUUCGGAUUCUGUGUCUCCCUCUCUCUCUGCCCCUCCCCCACAUACAUGCUGUCUCUCUCUCUCUCUCUCUCUCUC